rnacentral:rRNA from 1 species
GUACACACCGCCCGUCGCUACUACCGAUUGAAUGGCUAAGUGAGGCUUUCGGACUGGCCCAGGGAGAGUGGCAACGCUCCCCCAGGGCCGGAAAGUUGUCCAAACUUGAUCAUUUAGAGGAAGUAAAAGUCGUAACAAGGUUUCCGUAGGUGAACCUGCAGAAGGAUCA